rnacentral:tRNA from 1 species
GUGUCAGCGGAGCGGGAGGUCGGCUCCGUGCUCGUCGCGGGCGCGCGGGCCGUGGAUACGGCGUUCCGCCUCGGUGAUCGCGACAUCGUUGAUACUC